rnacentral:rRNA from 1 species
UCGAGAAUUUUUCACAAUGGGCGAAAGCCUGAUGGAGCGACGCCGCGUGGGGGAUGAAUGGCUUCGGUCCGUAAACCCCUGUCAUUUGCGAACAAACCUUUCGGUUUAACAGGCCGAGAGCUGAUUGUAGCGGAAGAGGAAGGGACGGCUAACUCUGUGCCAGCAGCCGCGGUAAUACAGAGGUCCCAAGCGUUGUUCGGAUUCACUGGGCGUAAAGGGUGCGUAGGUGGCUGGGUAAGUUUGAGGUGAAAGCUCCGGGCUCAACCCGGAAAUUGCCUUGAAUACUAUUCGGCUAGAGGGUUGGAGGGGAGACUGGAAUUCUCGGUGUAGCAGUGAAAUGCGUAGAUAUCGAGAGGAACACCAGUGGCGAAGGCGAGUCUCUGGACAACAUCUGACACUGAGGCACGAAAGCCAAGGGAGCAAACGG